rnacentral:rRNA from 1 species
UGUCGUAGCCAACGCGUUAAGUGUUCCGCCUGGGGAGUACGCACGCAAGUGUGAAACUCAAAGGAAUUGACGGGGGCCCGCACAAGCGGUGGAGUAUGUGGUUUAAUUCGAUGCAACGCGAAGAACCUUACCAGGGCUUGACAUCCUGCGAACCUCUGGGAAACCGGAGGGUGCCUUCGGGAGCGCAGAGACAGGUGGUGCAUGGCCGUCGUCAGCUCGUGUCGUGAGAUGUUGGGUUAAGUCCCGCAACGAGCGCAACCCACGUCUUUAGUUGCCAGCAUUAAGUUGGGCACUCUAGAGAGACCGCCGGUGACAAACCGGAGGAAGGUGUGGAUGACGUCAAGUCAUCAUGCCCCUUACGUCCUGGGCUACACACGUACUACAAUGCUACGGACAAAGAGCAGCAAACUCGCGAGGGUAAGCAAAUCUCAUAAACCGUGGCUCAGUUCAGAUCGUAGGCUGCAACUCGCCUACGUGAAGGAGGAAUCGCUAGUAAUCGCAGGUCAGCAUACUGCGGUGAAUACGUUCCCGGGCCUUGUACACACCGCCCGUCACACCAUGGAAGUUGGCCAUGCCCGAAGUC